CCUACGGGUGACUGCAGUCGAGAAUCAUUCACAAUGGGGGAAACCCUGAUGGUGCGACGCCGCGUGGGGGAAUGAAGGUCUUCGGAUUGUAAACCCCUGUCAUGUGGGAGCAAAUUAAAAAGAUAGUACCACAAGAGGAAGAGACGGCUAACUCUGUGCCAGCAGCCGCGGUAAUACAGAGGUCUCAAGCGUUGUUCGGAAUCACUGGGCGUAAGGCGUGCGUAGGCUGUUUCGUAAGUCGUGUGUGAAAGGCGCGGGCUCAACCCGCGGACGGCACAUGAUACUGCGAGACUAGAGUAAUGGAGGGGGAACCGGAAUGCUCGGUGUAGCAGUGAAAUGCGUAGAUAUCGAGAGGAACACUCGUGGCGAAGGCGGGUUCCUGGACAUUAACUGACGCUGAGGCACGAAGGCCAGGGGAGCGAAAGGGAUUAGAUACCCGGGUAGUC
rnacentral:rRNA from 1 species